rnacentral:rRNA from 1 species
GGACUACUCGGGUUUCUAAUCCUGUUUGCUCCCCACGCUUUCGCGCCUCAGCGUCAGUAUCGGUCCAGAGCGCCGCCUUCGCCACCGGUGUUCUUCCCAAUAUCUACGAAUUUCACCUCUACACUGGGAAUUCCACGCUCCUCUCCCGACCUCCAGUCCCGCCGUCCUGCGCGCCAUUCCCAGGUUGAGCCCGGGGCUUUCACACGCAACUGACAGGACCGCCUGCGCGCCCUUUACGCCCAGUGAUUCCGAACAACGCUCGCCCCCUUCGUAUUACCGCGGCUGCUGGCAC